UGGCUCUCGCAUCGAUGAAGAACGCAGCGAAAUGCGAUAAGUAAUGUGAAUUGCAGAAUUCAGUGAAUCAUCGAAUCUUUGAACGCACCUUGCACCCCUUGGUAUUCCGAGGGGUACGCCCGUUUGAGCGUCAUUGUACUCUCACCUCCACGGCUUCUGCCGUGGGAGUGGAUCUGGAUGUUGUUGGCCUAGCGACCUGACUCAUCUGAAAUGUAACAGUGCAUCCUGUUUCCACAGUCUAUCUGGUGUGAUUAAGCAACGUCCCCAGUGUGAAACCUGACCGUGUGAUCCACGGCAAGAGUCUUUCCUGUCGAAAUGGGCAACUGCCGCUGGUCACCGAACCGUCCACGAGGAUGGUCCUCUUGACAAUUUGACCUCAAAUCGGGCGGGACUACCCGCUGA
rnacentral:misc_RNA from 1 species